GGGGCCAUAGUCUAGCCAGGUCUCGUGUUGCCAACUGGUGACACGGGUGGCAUAUUGGGCGCCUGCCUCCGGAGCAGGAGUUCGUGCGUUCGAAUCGCACUGGCCCCGCCA
rnacentral:tRNA from 1 species